UGUUCCUACGGGGCGCAGCAGUAGGGAAUAUUGCUCAAUGGGGGAAACCCUGAAGCAGCAACGCCGCGUGGAGGAUGAAGGUUUUAGGAUUGUAAACUCCUUUUGUAAGAGAAGAUUAUGAUGGUAUCUUACGAAUAAGCACCGGCUAACUCCGUGCCGGCAGCCGCGGCAAUACGGAGGGUGCAAGCGUUACUCGGGAUCACUGGGCGUAAAGAGCGCGUAGGCGGGUGGUCAAGUCAGAUGUGAAAUCCUGUAGCUUAACUACAGAACUGCAUUUGAAACUGAUCAUCUGGAGUAUGGGAGAG
rnacentral:rRNA from 1 species